rnacentral:rRNA from 1 species
AGUGAACGCUGGCGGCGUGCUUCAGACAUGCAAGUCGUACGAGAAAGUGACUUCGGUCAUUAGUAAAGUGGCGCACGGGUGAGUAACAUUUGGGUAAUGUACCUUAUUGCUGGGGAUAACUAGGCGAAAGCUUAGCUAAUACCGAAUAUCCGUUUGGGUGAAACUCCCAACCGGGAAAGCCGCAAGGCGCGAUAAGAUCAGCCCAAAUCUCAUUAGCUAGUUGGUGAGGUAAUGGCUCACCAAGGCUUCGAUGGGUAGCUGGUCUGAGAGGAUGAUCAGCCACACUGGAACUGGAACACGGUCCAGACUCCUACGGGAGGCAGCAGUUAGGAAUUUUUGCGCAAUGGGGGAAACCCUGACGCAGCAACGCCGCGUGAGUGAUGAAGGCCUUCGGGUUGUAAAGCUCUUUUAGUUGGGAAAAAAUCAAGUGAUGGUACCGACAGAAAAAGCACCGGCUAACUACGUGCCAGCUGCCGCGGUAAUACGUAGGGUGCGAGCGUUACUCGGAUUUACUGGGCGUAAAGCGCAUGUAGGCGGCUUGUUAAGUCUGAUGUGAAAUCCCUAGACUCAAUCUA